GAUGAACGCUAGCGGCAGGCCUAACACAUGCAAGUCGAGGGGUAGCAGGAUUAAGCUUGCUUAAUUGCUGACGACCGGCGCACGGGUGCGUAACGCGUAUGCAACCUACCUUAUACUGGGGUAUAGCCCGGAGAAAUUCGGAUUAAUCCCCCAUAGUACUAAUGAAUCGCAUGGUUUAUUAGUCAAAGCAUUGCGGUAUAAGAUGGGCAUGCGUCCUAUUAGCUGGAUGGUGAGGUAACGGCUCACCAUGGCUACGAUAGGUAGGGGGCCUGGGAGGGUGGUCCCCCACACUGGUACUGAGACACGGACCAGACUCCUACGGGAGGCAGCAGUGAGGAAGAUUGGUCAAUGGGCGCAAGCCUGAACCAGCCAUGCCGCGUGCAGGAAGAAUGCCCUAUGGGUUGUAAACUGCUUUUAUUUGGGAAUAAACCUCUUUACGUGUAGAGAGCUGAAGGUACCAAAUGAAUAAGCACCGGCUAACUCCGUGCCAGCAGCCGCCGUAA
rnacentral:rRNA from 1 species